CCGGAGACGGACCAGCUCCUGCGGGCUGCCCUGCGGCAGCCCCGGCCCUGCCCCCAGGCCAUUCUCUCCGUCCUGCGGCAGGGAAACCUCCCCACCCCCCAGCGUCACUCCAGCAGUGGGUCCCCAGCUCUGGGCGAGCCCCCGCCUUAUCUGCACGUGCCCACAUCUCUCCGAUCGAUGGGGGUGGUAGGCAGAUGGCAUCUCUACCACUGAGGGCUCAACUGAACCAGCUCCUCCUCUGCAAAGCUUUUCCAAUCCCCUCUGCAAGAAGAGCCAUAGUGGGCUUCAUUUCCCCUGGUGUGUCCACUCGGCUGGCUGUGUGACCUUGGACCAGUUCCUCAACCUCUCUGAACCUUGGUUUCCUCCCUUGGGAGAUGGGUAUACUCCCACCUGCUUGUAAAAGGAGGGCAGAAUGACCUAGAGCUCAGCUUAGCACAGGAGCCUAAUGGGUAGUUCAGCCCAGGAGCACUAUUAAUAACCAGUACCUGUGUUACAGAAGGGCCUCUCUGGGUCACCCUCUGCAUACCCUUAGUUCCAACCCUGGAACUGAGACCUGUUUGUGGGUCUCCAGCCCCUCCCCUGGGCUGGGAGCACAGCACUGUGCUUGGGGAAUGUCUAAGAAACCAACAAACCAGGCUGUAAAGGCAGAGUCUGGAUUCGGGUUUGAGGUCUUGGAACCCCCCUGAAAUUAUUACAUGUAGAACCAUGACAACCAGGGCCUAGGAGGGGUCAGGCAAGGAAGGCUUCCUGGAGGAAGGGGGCCCAGGCUGAAAUGAGCCAGUGCUUUACUGCUCCUGGGUAUCUAUCUGCGCUGGCCUCUCUCUCCCUUGGUGUUCCCAUGGUCCCGUCUCCAAUGGCUUCCUGGGGCAUGAAGAAUAACCUCCAAGGGCCUUAUGGUGGCCUGCAAAACACCUUUCGAUCUAGCCCCUGCCUUCCUGAUUUGGGGGCAGUGGUUAGUGGGAUUGAGCCUGGGGGGGGGGGGGCUGUACCACUGAGCUACCUUCCCAGCCCUUUUUAAACACUUUGAGACACGGUUUCACUGAGUUAUACAGGGCCUCGCUAGUUGCUGAGGCUGGCCUGGGAAUUCCUAUCCUCCUGCCUCAGCCUCCUGAGUUGCUGGGAUCAUAGGUGUGCACCCCGCGCCCAACUCUGACUUCAUCUUCUACUUUCUCCUUUGUGCUCCAGCCUCGCUAGUGUUCUUAGUUCUUGAACUCAUUAGCUCAUGCCUGUCUCCGGGCCUUUGCACUCUCUGGACCCUCUGCCAACUGCUUUUCCUUCC
rnacentral:lncRNA from 1 species